rnacentral:rRNA from 1 species
UACGGAGGGUGCAAGCGUUAUCCGGAUUCACUGGGUUUAAAGGGUGCGUAGGUGGGCAGGUAAGUCAGUGGUGAAAUCUCCGGGCUUAACCCGGAAACUGCCGUUGAUACUAUUUGUCUUGAAUAUAGUGGAGGUGAGCGGAAUAUGUCAUGUAGCAGUGAAAUGCUUAGAUAUGACAUAGAACAUCGAUUGCGAAGGCAGCUCGCUACACUAUUAUUGACACUGAGGCACGAAAGCGUGGGGAUCAAACAGG